AGUGAACGCUGGCGGUAGGCCUAACACAUGCAAGUCGAACGGCAGCACAGUAAGAGCUUGCUCUUACGGGUGGCGAGUGGCGGACGGGUGAGGAAUCCAUCGGAAUCUACUUUUUCGUGGGGGAUAACGUAGGGAAACUUACGCUAAUACCGCAUACGACCUACGGGUGAAAGCAGGGGAUCUUCGGACCUUGCGCGAUUGAAUGAGCCGAUGUUGGAUUAGCUAGUUGGCGGGGUAAAGGCCCACCAAGGCGACGAUCCGUAGCUGGUCUGAGAGGAUGAUCAGCCACACUGUAACUGAGACACGGUCCAGACUCCUACGGGAGGCAGCAGUGGGGAAUAUUGGACAAUGGGCGCAAGCCUGAUCCAGCCAUACCGCGUGGGUGAAGAAGGCCUUCGGGUUGUAAAGACCUUUUGUUGGGAAAGAAAAGCAGCAGGUUAAUACCCCGCUGUUCUGACGGUACCCAAAGAAUAAGCACCGGCUAACUUCGUG
rnacentral:rRNA from 1 species